AUUGAACGCUGGCGGCAGGCCUAACACAUGCAAGUCGAACGAGUGGCGGACGGGUGAGUAAUGUCUGGGAAACUGCCUGAUGGAGGGGGAUAACUACUGGAAACGGUAGCUAAUACCGCAUACCAUCAGAUGUGCCCAGAUGGGAUUAGCUAGUAGGUGGGGUAAAGGCUCACCUAGGCGACGAUCCCUAGCUGGUCUGAGAGGAUGACCAGCCACAAUGGAACUGAGACACGGUCCAGACUCCUACGGGAGGCAGCAGUGGGGAAUAUUGCACAAUGGGCGCAAGCCUGAUACAGCCAUGCCGCGUGUAUGAAGAAGGCCUGCGGGUUGUAAAGUACUUUCAGCGGGGAGGCGUUACUCGCAGAAGAAGCACCGGCUAACUCCGUGCCAGCAGCCGCGGUAAUAC
rnacentral:rRNA from 1 species